rnacentral:rRNA from 1 species
AUGGCAAUUGUCCAUACCUACGGGAAGCCUGACAUCUUCCUGACCAUGACCUGCAACCCUAACUGGGAAGAGAUAACGAAUGAGUUGUUUCCUGGUCAGACAGCGCAAGACCGGCCUGAUCUUGACAUUAGG